rnacentral:rRNA from 1 species
AUUCCAGCUCCAAUAGCGUAUAUUAAAGUUGUUGCAGUUAAAAAGCUCGUAGUUGGAUGUUGGGUUCUAGUUAUGUUCGGUCUCUUCUAGAGUACUGUCAUGCUGGCCCUUUUUCUCGAGGCCUAUAGGUGCACUUAACCGUGUGUUUAUAGUGUUCGGGACUUUUACCGUGAGAAAAUUAGAGUGUUCAUAGCAGGCUAGUGCUUGAAUAUUACAGCAUGGAAUAAUGGAAUAGGAUCAUGAUCUUAUUUUGUUGGUUUCUAAGAUUAAGAUAAUGAUUAAUAGGGAUAGUUGGGGGCAUUAAUAUUUAGUUGUCAGAGGUGAAAUUCUUAGAUUUACAAAAGAUUAACUUCUGCGAAAGCAUUUGCCAAGGAUGUUUUCAUC